rnacentral:rRNA from 1 species
GACGAACGCUGGCGGCGUGCUUAACACAUGCAAGUCGAACGGAAAGGCCCUGCUUUUGUGGGGUGCUCGAGUGGCGAACGGGUGAGUAACACGUGAGUAACCUGCCCUUGACUUUGGGAUAACUUCAGGAAACUGGGGCUAAUACCGGAUAGGAGCUCCUGCUGCCUGGUGGGGGUUGGAAAGUUUCGGCGGUUGGGGAUGGACUCGCGGCUUAUCAGCUUGUUGGUGGGGUAGUGGCUUACCCAGGCUUUGACGGGUAGCCGGCCUGAGAGGGUGACCGGCCACAUUGGGACUGAGAUACGGCCCAGACUGCUACGGGAGGCAGCAGUGGGGAAUAGUGCACAAGGGGCGGAAGCCUGAUGCAGCAACGCCGCGUGCGGGAUGACGGCCUUCGGGUUGUAAACCGCUUUCGCCUGUGACGAAGCGUGAGUGACGGUAAUGGGAAAAGAAGCACCGGCUAACUACGUG